GUUUCCGUAGUGUAGCGGUUAUCACGUGUGCUUCACACGCACAAGGUCCCCGGUUCGAACCUGGGCGGGAACA
rnacentral:tRNA from 1 species